UGUUCACUCGGGCAAUAGCAGGAGGAGGAGCUGCCUACCGUAUAAAAAUAUAUAGCCCUGUCGUGUAAUCCGGUUUAGCUCUCACUGUUCAACAACAUCUCCAACUCUGCGCUUGGCUUUCAUCUUCACACACAAUUUCUUGAAACCAUCAUCAUUCAAAGAUGAAUUCGUUAAUGGUUAAAUGCGUCGCAAUGCUGUUCGUCGUCCUAUUGGCCGGAGUCUGUUCGAAGCCAACCAGCGAAGCUAUUGUCGGUUCCCCUCACUUGUUUCACGAAUACGAUUUCGCAGUGGAUCCUCACAAGAGCCAACAACUCUCUCCGCAAUUCCAGGCCGCCAACGGACAUCGCGGCUCCAAACUGAUCGCAUUUUUCGGUACCGGAGGACUUCGAUCAGUGGAAAGACCUGCCAGACCUGCAUAUUACCAUAACUGAGAGAGAAACAACAUUUUAGGGAAAACAAAUUCCUUGUACAUAAUCAAAAAAAUUCGACUGGUUCAUACACGAAACAUUCUUUUCUUA